CCGAGCGGCUGUGCGGGGUUUGGCCCGUGUCCCGCCCCGGUACAGCGCUUGGCUGGUCACCUUACCGGCACCGUCUCCCUUCCGUCCGUCCGUUCCCUCCCCCCCGGAGCAUUCCCGUUGCUCAAUCCCGUUUCCCUCAGCCCACCGCAGCCCCCCCGCCGCUUCCCCUUGUGCCACUGGGGACUCCCCGGUGCCGCUCGGUCGAGAGGUCGGUGACCGGUGCCUUGGCUGUUGGUCACUUGCGCACCGAAACUCGGCGGCGAGGCUGGGAUCUCUUCUAAACAACCAAACCCUUGGCUCUCCAGAUGAGGAUGGUCACUCUUGCCGGUUCCACUUCGAGUCACACAUUUGGCAGCCUUAAGGAUUGUUUUCAAGUGCUGAGGAUGCCAGUAGUCCCCCAGGAAGAAAAAUCUCUUUGCUGGGCUUGGUAGUGAUGAAGGAGUGGCUCAGGAGCACGUGUCCGACUUCACUGUUAAAUAACAGCAUGAGAGAGAUUUAUUCUGAGCCUGUUAAGCUGGUCCUGUGUUCUACUUAAGCUUAGUCUUUUUAUCCCUACCCAUCUUCCUCUUCCAUAAGACCUACUAAACCAGUCAAAAGAAAGGUUGUUGGGGGUUUUUUGUCCUCCCUUCCAUUAGGCUUCUUGUCAUACCCCACUGAAAACACUGCAAAUAAAUGUUUGCCUCUCUGGUGCCUCUGAGUGAGUAGACGAGAGGGGAAAUAUGUUCUGUCAUUUCCUAAAUAUAGUUGGCUGUAACGGCUUCCUUGACGGCCUUGAAUGUCAUCCAGGUCAAAGAUAACAGUGCUGGGGAGGAAGUUAAAUCCUUUCUGUGUCAUCCUGACCUUCUUCUAUUUGAACACAACAGCAUGGACUAUCAACCUAUUUCAGGGAGGGACAUUAAAAGUGCUUGGUGAAAGAAAGCUAACAGCGGGAGUGAGGGGGGAGUGAUUUCAGUUGGGGGCUGUUCUGCUGGUUUUUUAGGCGAGACCGCUGUGAUGAGGAAGUUUAACCUGCUUGGUUUUGUUACCCUGGCAUGGCUUUUGCUCCUUGCAACUUAAUUGCAAUACUUAAGAAGAAAAAAAAUAAACUAUAGUUAAUUGUUGAGCACCUUUAUCCUUCACUAAAGGUUGUGAGCUCACGGAUCCUAAAAUAAAACAAAUACUCUGGCGCUGAGGAAAGAGAACAUUGCGUGAGGGCAGAGAAAUUAGGCCACUUGGGGAAUGUGCUUCCAGGCCUAUUUCUAUCUGUCACAGCAAACUGAAAGGACGCUAACUUCGGGGAGAGGGCUCUGUGACCCUUUGGUCCUUGCUCUGUUACUCCUUCCCUUUGUAACUUUGGAGGUGGCACUCGCAUCAGCCGCUCACCUGCUUUUGCAAGCCAUGGGUAACCAUAUUCAUCUCACUACUUCAGCUGAGCCCCCUCGAAGCUCUCUAGCAACUGCCUCGUGAUGGAAGGAGCCAUUAUGUCAGCCAUAAGGGCAAAAAUACCUGGUCUGUGUUAAUGUGGGUGCAGUUCUCUGCUGAUUCAGCUCCUAUCACGAUGUAAAGAUGGGAAUCUAUUUUUAAUAGAUUAGGUAAUGUGUGAUUUGUGACUACUACAGUCACACACCAGGGUAAAUCCUGUGUGACCAGUCAAGUGCCAACACCAAAGAGGCCAAGAGAAUCAAACUUCAGAAGAAUUUUGAUUAGAAGAACCUUUACUUUAAGCUUGGCUCAUGUUUUAAUUAAUGUCAUCUAUUAACAUUUUGAAGAGAGAUAGUUUUGGCAAACAAAGCAGUCAUUUAGAAAGGCAGCCAUUUGGAAAGCCAGCAAGGAGUACAGCUGAUGCUCUUGGUACUGCAGCAGAAACCUCUCUGACUCUGCACACAAUCUUGAUUUUCCUUAAAUAAAACUACUUUCAAGC